GCCGAAGUGGUGGAAUUGGCAGACGCGCUGCGUUCAGGGCGCAGUGGGCAACCAGCCCGUGUGGGUUCAAAUCCCACCUUCGGCACCA
rnacentral:tRNA from 1 species